rnacentral:rRNA from 1 species
ACACUCCUGCGGGAGGCAGCAGUGGGGAAUAUUGCACAAUGGGCGCAAGCCUGAUGCAGCCAUGCCGCGUGUAUGAAGAAGGCCUUCGGGUUGUAAAGUACUUUCAGCGGGGAGGAAGGCGAUAAGGUUAAUAACCUUGUUGAUUGACGUUACCCGCAGAAGAAGCACCGGCUAACUCCGUGCCAGCAGCCGCGGUAAUACGGAGGGUGCAAGCGUUAAUCGGAAUUACUGGGCGUAAAGCGCACGCAGGCGGUCUGUCAAGUCGGAUGUGAAAUCCCCGGGCUCAACCUGGGAACUGCAUUCGAAACUGGCAGGCUAGAGUCUUGUAGAGGGGGGUAGAAUUUCAGGUGUAGCGGUGAAAUGCGUAGAGAUCUGGAGGAAUACCGGUGGCGAAGGCGGCCCCCUGGACAAAGGCUGACGCUCAGGUGCGAAAGCGUGGGGAGCAAACAGGAUUAGAAACCCUAGUAGUCCCAUG